rnacentral:misc_RNA from 1 species
UUGAACGCGACAGGAGGCAAUACAAAGGUCGGGAGGGGGCGGGAGAGGUUCCUUACCUCAAGGCGGGCUCCGGGGACUCCUCGGUGGCGGCAAUGGCGCGACGGCGGCCCGGGUCGACAGUGGCGGACCUCCGCGGCUGCACGGAGGACGGCGGGUGAGCGCGGGCAGAGGGAAAUAGGGAGGGGGAAGAGGAAUUGGGGCGUGUCCCGGGUUGCGGACGCCGAGGCGAAGCUCACGGUGGCAGAGGGCACGGCGGAGCUCCAACGGCGACGGGGAAACGGGCUCGGGCGGCGAUGGUUAAUGGCGGCGGCGCUCUGGCGUGCGUGCAGCGUGGGGGAGGGAUCUGAGGCCGCCAUCAACACCCUCCUCCCCACGCCGUCGAUGGCGCGCGCAGAUCCAGUCUCCUUCAGGCAACACCGCGCCAUCAGCGGAAUCUCCUUCCGCCAUCAGCAGAAGGUGCCGAGGAUCUUGGGCAAGCAGGAGAGGGGGAGAGGAGGCCAAGGACACAACCGCGAAGCCAAACUCAUCCAAUCCGCCCCCUUCUGCCGGCCGCACCUCGACGGCUUCACCGUGCCCCCACCACAUCGCGACCAUGGCGAAGGAGCAGGCUGGCUAGCCCUCGGUCCGCCUCAGCCCGCCGCCAGGAGAGAUAAGGUAAGCCACCCACAGCCGCCGCCGCCGCUGCCCUACUCCCGCCCCAUCUCUCCCCCUAGUGUAGACGUCCACAAUACAUAUGGUGCACGGUUCUGCCAGGAGUCGAGGGGACACCAGGGCCCACCCGUCAUAAGGCGAACUCGAGGCCGCUCCGCCACCUCACCACAUUUCCCAAGCGUGCAGGGGACACCGCCCGUCAUCCACGCGCCGAGGAUCUCCUACCCCGCCAUCAACGCCCUCCUCCAUCAACGGAAGGUGGCCGAGGAUCCGCCCCACCCUCCUCCCCACGCCGUCGCCGAUGGAAGGUGCGAUCUCCUACCCCUCUGCUCCACCAUCAAUGCCCUCCUCCAUCCCCUUCCAUUGUUGCCGCUCCGCCACCACACCAUGUUUCCCAAACGCGCAGAUCCGAGGAUCCGCCAUCAAUGCCGCGCCCACCCUCCUCCCCCUCUGCUCCGCGAUGACAGGGAUCUAAGGCCGCCAUCAACGCCCUCCUCCCCACGCCGUCGAUGGCGCACGCAGAUCCAGUCUCCUUCAGGCAACACCGCGCCAUCAGCGGAAUCUCCUUCCGCCAUCAACAGAAGGUGUCGAGGAUCUUGGGCAAGCAGGAGAGGGGGAGAGGAGGCCAAGGACACAACCGCGAAGCCAAACUCAUCCAAUCCGACCCCUUCUGCCGGCCGCACCUCGACGGCUUCACCGUGCCCCCGCCACAUCGCGACCAUGGCGAAGGAGCAGGCUGGCUAG